rnacentral:rRNA from 1 species
UACGAAGGGGGCUAGCGUUGUUCGGAAUCACUGGGCGUAAAGGGCGCGUAGGCGGCUGUUCAAGUCGGGGGUGAAAUCCCGUGGCUCAACCACGGAAUGGCCUUCGAUACUGGACGGCUCGAGACCGGAAGAGGUGAGUGGAACUGCGAGUGUAGAGGUGAAAUUCGUAGAUAUUCGCAAGAACACCGGUGGCGAAGGCGGCUCACUGGCCCGGUUCUGACGCUGAGGCGCGAAAGCGUGGGGAGCAAACAGG